CACUCUCCUUAAACAAGUUGAUCCUGGCACAAAGGUUUGCUCCAUUUGGGUUUCUGUUUCUUGGCUGUGAUUCUGUUUGAGACCAAUUUUUCAUUUUACCUAGCAAAGCUCGCUAAUUUAAGUUUAUGUUUUAUCUUGGCUUUAGUUCUGUUCGGUGCGAUUCAAGGAAAUAGUUAACAAAUUGAACCAAACAAAAGUUGGGGGAACACCUGAUCUGAGAGGCAAAGUCUUUUUUAGUUUGUGGGCUCUUAAAUUCAGAGAGAUACUACGUACGUCUUUCUCCUUCUUAGCUUUACCACUAGUCAGUAUAUAUCUGAGACUGAGAGGAAGCAACAUCUGAGGGAGAAAGAAGAAACGUGAAGAGAUGGAGAGGCUUGAGAAGGGGAGGCAAGCAAAGAUGUGGAGUUGCAAGGGGGUUAAUGGGUAUGAACUCUUGGAAGUUAGAACACUAAACAUCUACAACACCGUCGUCCCGCUGGCCACCGUUACUGCCUCUGUUACCAGUGAACCUUGCGGCUGAGCAGUCAGGUGCAAAAAGUCUAGUGGUCUGGAAUUCCCUAUCACCACCCAUCACAGGCAUGUGGACUCCGAUCUUGACUCGUGAGUCGGCUUACGUAGUUAGACCUAUACGUUAGUCCCAAAACACCAUCCACGUUGUUGUCGCUAAGGUUUUGGAACUUGAAGCCUAAGUCGAGAUGAGCGAGACAGUCGUCUUCCGUUACGUUGUAACCAUGAAUUCUUGAAUCUUCCUUUGUCAUUGGCACCACUCUUGCUGUGAUCUUAAGCAUGCCCUCUACUUCAACCUGAAUAAAUGUGUUUUAUAUGUA